rnacentral:rRNA from 1 species
UGCAAGUCGAACGAACUCUGGUAUUGAUUGGUGCUUGCAUCAUGAUUUACAUUUGAGUGAGUGGCGAACUGGUGAGUAACACGUGGGAAACCUGCCCAGAAGCGGGGGAUAACACCUGGAAACAGAUGCUAAUACCGCAUAACAACUUGGACCGCAUGGUCCGAGUUUGAAAGAUGGCUUCGGCUAUCACUUUUGGAUGGUCCCGCGGCGUAUUAGCUAGAUGGUGGGGUAACGGCUCACCAUGGCAAUGAUACGUAGCCGACCUGAGAGGGUAAUCGGCCACAUUGGGACUGAGACACGGCCCAAACUCCUACGGGAGGCAGCAGUAGGGAAUCUUCCACAAUGGACGAAAGUCUGAUGGAGCAACGCCGCGUGAGUGAAGAAGGGUUUCGGCUCGUAAAACUCUGUUGUUAAAGAAGAACAUAUCUGAGAGUAACUGUUCAGGUAUUGACGGUAUUUAACCAGAAAGCCACGGCUAACUACGUGCCAGCAGCCGCGGUAAUACGUAGGUGGCAAGCGUUGUCCGGAUUUAUUGGGCGUAAAGCGAGCGCAGGCGGUUUUUUAAGUCUGAUGUGAAAGCCUUCGGCUCAACCGAAGAAGUGCAUCGGAAACUGGGAAACUUGAGUGCAGAAGAGGACAGUGGAACUCCAUGUGUAGCGGUG